rnacentral:rRNA from 1 species
AAAUUGAAGAGUUUGAUCAUGGCUCAGAUUGAACGCUGGCGGCAGGCCUAACACAUGCAAGUCGAACGGUAACAGGAAGCAGCUUGCUGCUUUGCUGACGAGUGGCGGACGGGUGAGUAAUGUCUGGGAAACUGCCUGAUGGAGGGGGAUAACUACCGGAAACGGUGGCUAAUACCGCAUAACGUCGCAAGACCAAAGAGGGGGACCUUCGGGCCUCUUGCCAUCAGAUGUGCCCAGAUGGGAUUAGCUUGUUGGUGAGGUAACGGCUCACCAAAGCGACGAUCCCUAGCUGGUCUGAGAGGAUGACCAGCCACACUGGAACUGAGACACGGUCCAGACUCCUACGGGAGGCAGCAGUGGGGAAUAUUGCACAAUGGGCGCAAGCCUGAUGCAGCCAUGCCGCGUGUAUGAAGAAGGCCUUCGGGUUGUAAAGUACUUUCAGCGGGGAGGAAGGUGUUG